rnacentral:rRNA from 1 species
UACGGAGGGAGCUAGCGUUGUUCGGAAUUACUGGGCGUAAAGCGCACGUAGGCGGCUUUGUAAGUUAGAGGUGAAAGCCCGGGGCUCAACCCCGGAAUUGCCUUUAAGACUGCAUCGCUUGAAUCCGGGAGAGGUGAGUGGAAUUCCGAGUGUAGAGGUGAAAUUCGUAGAUAUUCGGAAGAACACCAGUGGCGAAGGCGGCUCACUGGACCGGUAUUGACGCCUGAGGUGCGAAAGCGUGGGGAGCAAACAGG